AUUGAACGCUGGCGGAAUGCUUUACACAUGCAAGUCGAGCGGCAGCACGGGGGCAACCCUGGUGGCGAGCGGCGAACGGGUGAGUAAUACAUCGGAACAUGCCCCGUCGUGGGGGAUAACAAUUCGAAAGAAGUGCUAAUACCGCAUACGUCCUGAGGGAGAAAGCGGGGGAUCUUCGGACCUCGCGCGAUUGGAGUGGCCGAUGUCGGAUUAGCUAGUUGGUGGGGGAAAGGCCUACCAAGGCAACGAUCUGUAGCUGGUCUGAGAGGAUGAGCGGACACACUGGGACUGAGACACGGCCCAGAGUCCUACGGGGGGCAGCAGUGGGGAAUUUUGGACAAUGGGGGCAACCCUGAUCCAGCCAUUCCGCGUGAGUGAAGAAGGCCUUCGGGUUGUAAAGCUCUUUCGGCAGGAACGAAACGGCGAGCUCUAACAUAGCUUGCUAAUGACGGUACCUGAAGAAGAAGCACCGGCUAACUACGUGCCAGCAGCCGCGGUAAAAC
rnacentral:rRNA from 1 species